AGAAUAAAUAAGUGGCCUGAUAAAUUAAACAGACGACAAGAGAUCUGGAAACUUGAUUCACCAAAGUCCACCAAUAUUCUGCAUUUUCCCAGCCUUCCUAGGCAAUCCGGGAUGGAGAAAAGGUGGCAACCGAACGCAAAUAGUUUAUCUUGUGUUUGUGUGUGCACACGUAUAGAUGGACGCGAAGGACAAAUGGAACUGAGACGAGAGAGCAGGACAAAGGCGAGGAACUGUGGAGUAAAGAUAACUUUUUCGUGGGAAUACCUCUCUACUCUAUCCAGGGCCUUCCGAGCCAGCAGAACUAGAAGCAAGGAUCGCUCUGCAUGUCUACAGCCUUUAUUAAACACCAGUCCUUCAGGCACUGUCUUCAUGAAUUUCUGGACGAAUCUCCUUGAGACGCAGGACGUUGACCGAGGUCGGCCUUUUGGAUUCAUCCAGCGGCAUCUUUCUUCGGCUCAAAAGGCUGAGCGCUCCCUAGAAAUUCCUUGAAUAUUUGACAUGCAGCAAUUUAUUUCUUUUUUUUUAAAAAAAAGGGCCUGCUGCUCGCGGUUCCCAUCUAAUCUACUCUGCAGAUUUCAAUGCCUUCAACGGGGAAGGAGAAAGAGGUUGCCAGGCCUCCUGCGCGUUAAAAUGGGACAGUUUAGAAAGAUGAAUUCGUCUUGUGAGCAACCUGAUAGAUGUCAAAGAAUCAUCGCUUGGCAUUCA